rnacentral:lncRNA from 1 species
GCAGUAGUAUGCAUAGACCAGGUAGUAGUAUGCAUAGACCAGGCAGAAGUAUGCACAGACCAGGCAGUAGUAUGUACAGACCAGGCAGUAGUAUGUACAGACCAGGCAGUAGUAUGUACAGACCAGGCAGUAGUAUGUACAGACCAGGCAGUAGUAUGUACAGACCAGGUAGUAGUACGUACAGACCAGGCAGUAGUAUGUGUGUAUAAUGCAUAGACUAGGCAGUAGUAUGUACAGACCAGGCAGUAGUACGUACAGACCAGGCAACAGUAUGUGUGUAUAAUGCAUAGACUAGGCAGUAGUAUGUACAGACCAGGCAGUAGUAUGUACAGACCAGGCAGUAGUAUGCAUAGACUAGGCAGUAGUAUGUACAGACCAGGCAGUAGUUCGUACAGACCAGGCAGUAGUAUGUACAGACCAGGCAGAAGUAUGUACAGACCAGGCAGUAGUAUGUACAGACCAGGCAGUAGUAUGCAUAGCCCAGGCAGUAGUAUGCAUAGACCAGGUAGUAGUAUGCAUAGACCAGGCAGUAGUACGCAUAGACCAGGCAGUAGUAUGUACAGACCAGGUAGUAGUACGUACAGACCAGGCAGUAGUACGUACAGACCAGGCAGUAGUAUGCAUAGACCAGGCAGAAGUAUGCAUAGACCAGGCAGAAGUAUGCAUAGACCAGGCAGUAGUAUGUACAGACCAGGCAGUAGUAUGUACAGACCAGGCAGUAGUAUGUACAGACCAGGCAGUAGUAUGUACAGACCAGGCAGUAGUAUGUACAGACCAGGCAGUAGUAUGCAUAGACCAGGCAGUAGUAUGUACAGACCAGGCAGUAGUAUGUACAGACCAGGCAGUAGUAUGUACAGACCAGGCAAUAGUAUGUGUGUAUAAUGCA